rnacentral:rRNA from 1 species
GGUUAAGCGAAUAAGCGUACACGGUGGAUGCCUAGGCAAUCAGAGGCGAUGAAGGACGUGCUAAUCUGCGAAAAGCGUCGGUAAGGUGAUAUGAACCGUUAUACCCGACGAUAUCCGAAUGGGGAAACCCAGUAUCCAAUGGAUACUAUCAUUAACUGAAUCCAUAGGUUAAUGAGGCGAACCGGGAGAACUGAAACAUCUCAGUACCCCGAGGAAAAGAAAUCAACCGAGAUUCCCCUAGUAGCGGCGAGCGAACGGGGAGCAGCCCAGAGUCUUAAUCAAUAGCAGCGUCAGGAGAACGGUCUGGAAAGUCCGGCAGUAAAGGGUGAUAGCCCCGUAUCUGAAGAUGCUGUUAUUGUGAACUCGACGAGUAGGGCGGGACACGUGUUAUCCUGUCUGAAUAUGGGGGGACCAUCCUCCAAGGCUAAAUACUCCUGAUUGACCGAUAGUGAACCAGUACCGUGAGGGAAAGGCGAAAAGAACCCCGGCGAGGGGAGUGAAAAAGAACCUGAAACCGUGUACGUACAAGCAGUAGGAGCCCCAUCACUCAAGUGCCUCGCACUGAGUGAUGCAAUAACAUCACCGAAAAUAGCGCCGAAUUUGCUAACAAGGUUGGUCGAUUUUUUCAAGCCGUCGCGCAGUGUACCUAGAAGUACACGAGCAACGGAAGUUAAAAAAUCGGGCAAGAUUGAACGCAAAGGCAAGCGGGACAUUUGAGGAUGGGGUGACUGCGUACCUUUUGUAUAAUGGGUCAGCGACUUAUAUUCUGUAGC